GUGGGCAGCCUAGUGACCCAGGAGGCCCCACCACAGGACAGCCUGGGCAGCCAGAUCAACUCUUCCCCAGACAGCAGUGAGAACCUGUCAGAGAUCCUUCUGUCCCAUAAAGAGAGGAAAGAGAUCCUAACCCGGACCAAGUGUAUCUCCGUGAAGGCCGCCCAGCGGCGCUCCCGGGCUCUGGGAACGGAAGGGCGCCACCUGCUGGCACCUGCCACAGAGCGCAGCAGCCUGUCCCUGCACUCGUUGAGCGAAGCUGAUGACGUUCGUCCACCGGGUCCACUGGCCUGCAAGCGGCCG
rnacentral:lncRNA from 1 species